rnacentral:rRNA from 1 species
AACGAACGCUGGCGGCAUGCCUAACACAUGCAAGUCGAACGAGAUCUUCGAGUCUAGUGGCGCACGGGUGCGUAACGCGUGGGAAUCUGCCCUUUGGUUCGGAAUAACAGUUGGAAACGACUGCUGAUACCGGAUGAUGGCGAAAGUCCAAAGAUUUAUCGCCAGAGGAUGAGCCCGCGUAGGAUUAGCUAGUUGGUGUGGUAAAGGCGCACCAAGGCGACGAUCCUUAGCUGGUCUGAGAGGAUGAUCAGCCACACUGGGACUGAGACACGGCCCAGACUCCUACGGGAGGCAGCAGUGGGGAAUAUUGGACAAUGGGCGAAAGCCUGAUCCAGCAAUGCCGCGUGAGUGAUGAAGGCCUUAGGGUUGUAAAGCUCUUUUACCCGGGAUGAUAAUGACAGUACCGGGAGAAUAAGCUCCGGCUAACUCCGUGCCAGCCGCCGCCGUAA